GCCAAACAGCUAGCUCACCCAUCCAAUAACUAAGCAAUGUAAAUAAAACAAAAUAAGCCUAACCCUAAAAAUUAAACCAUUCUUUUACCUUAGUAUGGGAGACAGAAAAGGUUAUACCUGAAGCAAUAGAAAUAGUACCGCAAGGGAAAGCUGAAAGAGGAAUGAAAUAACUCAUAUAAGCACAAAAAAGCAAAGAUUAAAUCUUGUACCUUUCGCAUCAUGAUUUAGCCAGUACACCCAAGCAAAGAGACCUUUAGUUUGAAGCCCCGAAACCAGGUGAGCUACCCCGAGACAGCCUAUUAAGGGCCAACCCGUCUCUGUGGCAAAAGAGUGGGAAGAGCUCCGGGUAGAGGUGACAAAUCUACCGAACCUGGUGAUAGCUGGUUGCCUAAGAAGUGAAUAGAAGUUCAGCCUCGUGUUCCCUAGGUCAGACGUUAAAAAGAAGAUAUUAUAAGGGUAACGCACGAGAGUUAGUUGAAGGGGGUACAGCCCCUUUAACAAAGGACACAACCUUUACAGGAGGAUAAAGAUCAUAAUACAUAAAACAUCCUGUUCUAGUGGGCCUAAAGGCAGCCAUCUAAACAGAAAGCGUUAAAGCUCAGACAGAAGUAAGUUUAUUAUUCCGACAAAAAAUCUUAUUCCCCUAACUACUAUUAGGCCAGCCCAUGCCCGCAUGGGAGGGACUAUGCUAGAAUGAGUAACAAGAAGGCCUGCCCUUCUCCAAGCACAAGUGUAAGCCAAACCGGACCGACCAUUGGCAAUUAACGAACUCAACCCAAGAGAGUAAUGUGGAUUGCAACAAGACCAAGUAGAACCCACAACAAACCUAUCGUUACCCCCACACUGGUGUGCUAUUAAGGAAAGACUAAAAGAAGGGGAAGGAACUCGGCAAACUCAAGCCUCGCCUGUUUACCAAAAACAUCGCCUCCUGCAACAAAACCUAGUAUAGGAGGUCCAGCCUGCCCAGUGACUAUAAGUUCAACGGCCGCGGUAUUUUGACCGUGCAAAGGUAGCGUAAUCACUUGUCUCUUAAAUGGAGACCUGUAUGAAUGGCUAAACGAGGGCUUAACUGUCUCCCCCCUCCAGUCAGUGAAAUUGAUCUAUCCGUGCAGAAGCGG
rnacentral:rRNA from 1 species